rnacentral:rRNA from 1 species
UGGGUAGUCCGUACGAGCGCACCCUAUCCUUAGUUGCCAGCGAGUAUGUCGGGAACUCUAGGGAGACUGCCGGUGACAAACCGGAGGAAGGUGGGGACGACGUCAAGUCAUCAUGGCCCUUAUGGGCAGGGCUACACACGUGCUACAAUGGCCGGCACAGAGGGCUGCGAAGUCGCAAGGCGGAGCGAAUCUCAGAAAACCGGUCGUAGUCCGGAUUGCAGUCCGCAACUCGACUGCAUGAAGUUGGAAUCGCUAGUAAUCGCGGAUCAGAAUGCCGCGGUGAAUACGUUCCCGGGCCUUGUACACACCGCCCGUCACACCAUGGGAGUGGGCUGUACCAGAAGUAGGUAGUCUAACCUUCGGGGGGACGCUUACCACGGUGUGGUUCAUGACUGGGGUGAAGUCGUAACAAGGUAGCCCUAGGGGAACCUGGGGCUGGAUCACCUCCUU